rnacentral:rRNA from 1 species
AGCGUAGGCGGAUGUUUAAGUUGGAUGUUUAAAACCGGGGCCUAACCUCGGAGCGGCAUCCAAAACUGGGCAUCUUGAAUAGGUCAGAGGCUGGUGGAAUUGGAGGUGUAGCGGUGGAAUGCGUAGAGAUCUCCAAGAACACCUAUUGCGAAGGCAGCCAGCUGGGACCAUAUUGACGCUGAGGCUCGAAAGCAUGGGGAGCAAACAGGAUUAGAUACCCUGGUAGUCCAUGCCGUAAACGAUGAACACUAGGUUUUGGGCUCGUCAACGGUCCAGAGCCGCAGCUAACGCGUUAAGUGUUCCGCCUGGGGAAUACGGUCGCAAGACUGAA